rnacentral:lncRNA from 1 species
UUGCAAUCUACGUUGUGAUCAACAGAUAUAUAGUGGCGGAUACAGUAUGUAAACAGUGGGUUCAACAGCUGUUCCAUCAGAAUAACAUUAAGCAGAGACAGUAACAGGGAAGCUCUCCUUUGGCAUGUCAGCUUAAAGUGGAUAGAGUAUGUAAAUAACGUUUGCAUCAAAGUUAUAACAUUAAGCAAAAACGGUAACCGCACAACUAUCCUUUGGCAUUUCAUCCGAAAUAUGUGAUGAAUAAAUAACCGCAUGCCAAUAGAGAGUAUCCUUAUCACUGUUUCUUCUUGUUAGAGAAGAACAUAGUGACUUAACAGUGGCGGAUACAGUAUGUAAAUAGUGGGUUCAACAGCUGUUACAUCAAAAUAACAUUCAGUAGAGACAGUAACAAGGCAGAUAUCCUUUGGCAUGUCAGCUUAAAUAUAUAGGUGCAUGCCAAUAGAGAGUAGCCCUACCACUGUUUCCCUUAUAAAUUCAAGAAUACAUUUUUAUUCACCAACUCUCCUUUUUCUCAUUUUUCUGCUUCUGUUUCAUCACACCAGAGCCUUCCAAGCUUAUAUAGGUUAUUCCUUCUUAGUUUAAGAGACAGUAUAAACCCAUGGAGAAUCAGCAUAUCCUGCCCCUUUUGUGUCUUCUUGCUUUUUCUGGGGUCAGAAAAUGGGGAACUUUCGUAUCCCUUUUACCAUUUCAUUUUGUGGCUUUUCGGUUUCCGAAUGCUAGUAUCAAUUAAUUAGGUGUUUUUUGUGACUAUGAAGUGUGCCACUUGACUCUUUUACAGCAUAUCCUUGGUCAUAUUCCUCAUUUUCCUCUUCUUUUGUCCAUAUCGACAUUUCUAUGUAGGGUCCUUUUUGCUUUCGUGUGGCUUUUCGAUUUCCUAGUGCCAGACUCACUUAAUUAGGCUAGUAAAUUUUUACUAGAUCCCAAGUCUUUCAGAAGUUGCAAAACAGAAUUGAUUUAGCAAAAGUGUAGGACAAAAUAAAAGUUGGAUGGUGCCUUUUUGAGUUCUCUCAUAUUACUCAAAAGUGUCGCCAUUUGUUCCAGUUUGCAUAUCACGCUAACCUGAACUAAUUAACUAUCUGUGGCAGAUUAAAAUUGCACCUUUCAACAUGUGUGUAUGGUAUUAAUUUAGUGAAUUUGUGUGCAACAAAAAACAGUCCUUACAACUUAAGACAUUCAAGUAUAAUGAAGCUGGACAAAUUGCAUCCAAGUCUGGAUUACAUUAGAACAUAAGAAUACUUUAUAUAAUACCAUCCUAGUUUCUUGCACCAGCUAGCCUGUCCCUCAAACCUAUGCCCCAUAUACCUACAUCACAUCUAUGUUUAUAUCUUUAUCAAUAUUGAUAUCAAUGUAAACUUCUAAAUUGGAAAGUUGAAUCACUUGAAUAUCCUUCUAAAUAGUUAAUCUGAAUAUAUAUAUAUAUAUAUUUCAUACUUAUAUAUUAAUUAAAUGUUUUCAAGUAGUGUGUAAUUGAUAAAAGCCACCUAUUUCUAGUAGUUGAUAAACAAAGUCGCCAAGUCAGACACUUUAAGAGCCAAACUAUAAAAGCCACUGCUUGGAAUAAGGGUGUUCAUUGUUUGGAGAAGCAAAUCAGUGCAGAGACAUUAGUAUAGUAUUCUAAAACGCAUAUCUUAAGUUCAGUUAGUUGGCUACUUAAUCUUUUACAUUGCUUGUGAUGAUUUGAUUCCCACCUUGUAAUAUCCUACCCCAUUUCCCCUUCUCUACGUCUAUGUAAUAAAAAAAAGAUAUAGGAAAAACAAUGAACAAAAAAUAAUAAUAAAUUAAAAAUAUAUCGUAUUCUAAAAGGACAAAGGCAUUUUCAUCAAAAAUGUCUACCAGAUUGUGUUUAGGCAGUAGUGAUGUGAGGUAAUUUGUUUGUUAGUUGUUUGUCUCUCGAAAAGAAGAUUUUUUCAUUUUGUGCUUGUUUUCUUAUAUAGCAUUCAGAAUUGGACUGUGUUGAUAUAUGAUGCUGCAGUUGUGCAGCUUCAAAUGUCUUUAGAGUAAACUGGCAGAAAUAAUGAUACACUUCGAACUUUUAUUACGAGUGAACACAACAAACACCAUAUUCAAACUUUUAUUAUGUCUAAUUGUCAGGCAAAGGAAGCAGUACUCUUCAUUUCAUGGCCUAUAAAAGAGCUAGAAUCCUAAAAUCUCAUAACAUAAGCAAGAGAGGAAUUAGGGAAAUCGAAAAGCCGCAUGAAUAACAAAAAUCGAAACCAAGUAGAAAACGUAACAUAGAAAUGUAAAAGAGAAAGGAAGAAUAGAAAAAAUAAGGAAUAUGACAAAAGGAUAUGCUGUUUGAAGGUCCUCGAGUCAAAUGGCACACACUUCAAAGGCAUAAAAUCAUGCAGCAUCAACUUUUUCCUGAGGGAAUCUGAUGAAAAUAUUUUUAAAGGAGUUGCUUUCAGGAAAUGAAAUUGUAAAGGAUAAGAAAGUUACCACAUUUUUUUACUCUAGAAAAAGCAAUCCCAUAAUGCAAGAAGAUAUCCGCAGACCACAACUAGAACCAAAAUCACAUAGGAUAUGCUGAUUCUCUCCAAGGGUUUAUACCGUCUCUUAAACUGAGAAGGAAUGCCUAUAAAAGCAUUGAAAGCUCUGUUGUGGUGAACCAGAGGAAGAAGAAAACGAGAGUUGGUGAAUGAAAAUAUAUCCUUGAAUUUAUAAGCGAGACAGUGAACCAGAGGAAGAAGAAAACGAGAGUUGGUGAAUGAAAAUAUAUUCUUGAAUUUAUAAGGGAAACAAUGAUAGGGCUACUCUCUAUUGGCAUGCAUUUGUAUGUUUCAGCUGACACGCCAAAGGAGAGCUGCCCUGUUACUGUCUCUCCUUAAUCAACAUGUCCUUCGGGCACUAUUAAUAUAUACAGUGUGAUGUCUUCAAGGUAUUUUUCUACUUUUCGCAGUGAGUCGUUCUGUUCUCAUGUUAUUCUAAAUAUUAAGUCUUGUUUACUUAAUUGUGAACUCACCAAUUGAUAAUUUGAAUGCGAGUGUGAGAUGUAUUCAAUUGUACAUUUUAAUUUAAAGAGCAGUUAUAGAGAUAUGAAUGAUAUAACAUUCUAGUUUUUGUAUUUAAUUCUCAAAUUAUUUUUGUUAACUGAAGAUUUAUACAUAGUUCUGAAUCUUCUGAUGAAUUAGAAUUCAACUCGAAUGUAAAUCUCAAACAAGCUGCUUGGAUGGUUCAAAAGAUUUCCAAAGCUAGGAAAUUAACACAUUGGAAAUUCAGGUUACAGGAUAAUUGAGGUUCAGCAGAUUACACAAUUUUCUAUUAGGAAAAUGUAUCUAAAGGUAAUUGAAAAUUUUCCGAACUUUGAAAUAUACAGUUCAAACUCAGGGAAUUAUUUUGGAGUUUGAAUUAGUUAAGUAUAUAAUUGAAAUAAUCAUGACAUUGGGCAGCUCAACAUUGAUUCGGAAAAGGCCAACUGGUUCAGCUGCAACUCAAAGACCAUUUUACAGUUGUAACAUUAGACUUGUAGUUUUAUUCUUAGCCAUUUUAUGUGUAACUACAAAUGCUUGAUUCAUUUACGAAAUAAAGUUUGAUACAUCAAUCAUCCUCAAUUCCACGAAUAUUUUGUUUAUAUAAUCUUCUUUUUCUCUCUCGUUAAGCCGGGGCAUUUCCACCCGGGAAAUUUCCAUCUAAUUUUUGCAAGUCUAAUUCUAACAUGGUAUCAUAGCAGGCAAAUGAACUAUACUUGUUUCUCUCAUUAGAGCAUCAUAUCCUCGAAACUAGAUUGACGAGAGGGAGUUGCUCGGAUGGUAAGCACCCCUCACUUCCAACCCGAAGGUUGCGAGUUUGCGUCACCAAGGGAGCAAAAGGGGUGGCAGCUCCUAGGGAGGGUUAAAAAAAAAAAGCUAGAUUUUGUAUUUUGAUUGAUUUUUAAAAAAAAACAAUAUAUGGAUAGGGUUCAAUUUCUGAUUCCGCAGGGGUUUGCUCUAUUCUAUUUCUGAUUCAAAGGUUUCACAAUGGAUUUACGGCGAUACUUAAGGCGUUCAUGAUGAUGUAUUAUUUUGGGCAUGGUGACUGAUCUUAGCAUUUAUUCGAAGUUGAAGAUUCCCCUAUUACCCAUACUGGAAAAGGUUCAAUGAUAUGAUGAUUGCUUGGAUGACUAUGAACAUUUCUAAUUUUCUACUAGUGUUUUAGGGUAUAUGACACUAAUAGGGAAACUUUGUUGGACAUUAAUGAGAGAUUUUGGAUCAAAUAGGUCUAAGUUCAUUCAAUUUCAAAUGACAUUAGUUUCAUUUCCAAGAGAACUUCAAAAAUUGUCUCAUAUUUCAUUAGACUGUGAAGCAUUUGGGAUGAGAUGAACAUUCAUUAUUUAUUGGUCAUAUGCUCUUGUGGCCCCUUUCCCAAGUUUCUAGGAGAACUGAAGUAGUUUUGGUUCCUAACUUGGUUGAAUAAUUUCUACUCCACAUUUAUGAGCAAUAUACUUAUGAUAUCUCCCCUUGCUCUGUGUUAAAACAUGCCAAGAAAUAGAGAGAGAACUCACACUUUCUUCCUCGUCUGCUCCUUCUGGUGCCGAAGAAGUUUUACUCAAAGAGUCUAAUUUAAGGCAACGAAGCAUGUCCUUUUGUCUCUUGCAAAUAUUGCAAGAAGUCAGGACACACUCUUAAUAAGUUCAUCCAAGAGCAAAAUAUCAGUCUUUUGUGUCCAUAUUGAUAAUUUUACUCCAAUACUCUUAGCUUCCACAUCCCAAUUUGGUGAUCAUUCAGCACAUGAAUUUACUCAGAAGCAAUAAGAAUAUCUCAUGCCUCUUCCUUCCAAAUAAUCAAAUCUCUCCUAGGUUCAAUAAUGAUGUUUCUUUUGGAGAGAUUUAAGACUAUGCUCACUUUGCAGGUUUAAUUAGUAUAUUUUUUGUAGUUAAUUUUGUGUUUUUUCAUGCAUAUUCAUCAUUGCAAUUAGGGGUAGAUACUUGAAUCUUUUACUCAGGGGCCGCUAGUCACAUGACUCCAUUUAUGGUGUUUAUAAGCUAUAUCAGUGUAUAUCACAUUGUAUUUCCAUAAAUCUCAUGUAUACCAUAUAUAUAUCUGUAAAUAUAAUCCACGAUAAUCUGUGAUUAUGUGAAACACCCCACUAAUUUGUGUCAAGACUGACAAUGCUCUGUCAAUCAGUGUUGCAAAAAUCAAAAUAAAAAAUAAAAAAUCAAGGAUUAGUGCAACACCAUCCAGGAACCUUUACUAGAAAAUUAGUACGUACUUCUUUUACAGUUUGGAUCUAUCAUGGAGUAAAAGAAUACAUUGCAGAUUAGGAUUAUUCAAAAUAUGCCUUCUUGCAAUCAACGUUGUGAUCAACAGAUAUAUGGUGGCGGAUACAGUAUGUAAACAGUGGGUUCAACAGCUGUUCCAUCAGAAUAACAUUAAGCAGAGACAGUAACAGGGCAGCUCUCCUUUGGCAUGUCAGCUUAAAUAUAUAAGUGCAUGCCAAUAGAGAGUAGCCCUACCACUGUUUCUCUUAUAAAUUCAAAAAUACAUUUUUAUUCACCAAACUCUUUUUUUUUUCUCAUUUUUCUGCUUCUGUUUCAUCACAACAGAGC